GGAGGGUGCAAGCGUUAUCCGGAUUUACUGGGUUUAAAGGGUGUGUAGGCGGGCAGUUAAGUCAGUGGUGAAAUCUCCGGGCUCAACCCGGAAACUGCCAUUGAUACUAUCUGUCUUGAAUAUCGUUGAGGUGGGCAGAAUAUGUCAUGUAGCGGUGAAAUGCAUAGAUAUGACAUAGAAUACCGAUUGCGAAGGCAGCUUGCUAAACGAUGAUUGACGCUGAGGCACGAAAGCGUGGGGAUCAAACAGGAUUAGAUACCCUGGUAGUCCACGCCCUAAACGAUGAUUACUCGACAUACGCGAUACACAGUGUGUGUCUGAGCGAAAGCAUUAAGUAAUCCACCUGGGAAGUACGUCCGCAAGGAUG
rnacentral:rRNA from 1 species